UACGUAGGGGGCAAGCGUUAUCCGGAUUUACUGGGUGUAAAGGGAGCGUAGGCGGUGCAGCAAGUCAGAAGUGAAAGCCCGGGGCUCAACUCCGGGACUGCUUUUGAAACUGUUGAACUAGAUUGCAGGAGAGGUAAGUGGAAUUCCUAGUGUAGCGGUGAAAUGCGUAGAUAUUAGGAGGAACACCAGUGGCGAAGGCGGCUUACUGGACAGUAAAUGACGCUGAGGCUCGAAAGCGUGGGGAGCAAACAGG
rnacentral:rRNA from 1 species